CAGCCGUAAACAAUGUGCGUUAGGUAUGUCGGUAACCACGUGUUACUGAUGUGCCGAAGAGAAAUCGUGAAACGCACCACCUGGGAAGUACGUCCGCAAGGAUGAAACUUAAAGGAAUUGGCGGGGGGAGCACCGCAACGGGAGGAGCGAGCGGUUUAAUUGGAUUCAACACCGUAAAACUCACCAGGGAAGACUGUUACAUGAAAGCCGAGAUGAAGACUCUGCUAGAUUUUCAGAGAGGUGGUGCAUGGCGUCAGUGACU
rnacentral:rRNA from 1 species